UACGUAGGGGGGCAAGCGUUGUCCGGAAUCAUUGGGCGUAAAGAGCGUGUAGGCGGCCCGGUAAGUCCGCUGUGAAAGUCCAGGGCUCAACCCUGGGAUGCCGGUGGAUACUGUCGGGCUCGAGUCCGGAAGAGGAGUGUGGAAUUCCUGGUGUAGCGGUGAAAUGCGCAGAUAUCAGGAGGAACACCAAUAGCGAAGGCAGCUCGCUGGGACGUUACUGACACUGAGGCGCGAAAGCGUGGGGAGCGAACAGGA
rnacentral:rRNA from 1 species